GUAGUCGUGGCCGAGUGGUUAAGGCGAUGGCCUUGAAAUCCACUGGGGUCUUCCCGUGCAGAUUUGAAUCCUGCUGACUACG
rnacentral:tRNA from 1 species